GGAACAGCCAGCAAAGUUUAUAAGUCAUAACUUUUCCAAUUAUGCAACACUCUAUCCACCCAUUUUCAAGUGCAAACUCAGUAUCUGAUCCUCUGAAAUAAACAUGUGUAGUUGGCAAUAGUCUUUCUGUCAAGUAGACCUGUGUCAAAUUAACAAAAAAUAUUUCAAAUUUGUGCAGACUGAAUGUUUACAUUUUCGCCUGGCCUCAUUCAAGGCUUGUGAGCUUUAUGCUGAUAAACCGAAGAAAAGACGCCAAACAGGGCUUCUUUAUUCAAGUCCCUAUUAAUGUCGCUCCAGAAGCAUGCAAACAAUAUGUGUGUCGUCCCUCUUUGGGUUGGUGAAAAAGACGAUGUGUGCCCGCACUCAUCCUCAACCCCUCCCUCAAUACCCAGCUCAGGAGCUCCUAUCUAGAUCCAUAAACCAACACUACAUUCAAUAUAGAUAGAAAGCUAAAAGUUUCUGUCAACAACAAGUCCAAUCCGUGUCUAUUGCACUCAAUUUCAGAUUCGAGUACCACAUCUCUGGGUAAUAUAUGUAUGAGGCCUUCUCCAAUAUUGAGAAACUUCCAAAGGCUUCAUUGAUAUGUGUCAAACACUCACAAGGCCAUAUCACACUAUGUUUGCCAGGUAAAAUAUGGUAUAAUAUCCAAGACAUGAAUGGGGGUGUGGUUACUUAUACCUUUGGGUUCAUUGUAUUGAAUACGCUCAGGUCAAAAAAAAAAGGAAAAAAAAAUAAUUCUGUUCAGUAUUUUUCAACAUCCAACAUCAUCUAAAGGCACGAGUUCACCACCAAACAGACGUGUAUAGCACGUUUCAUCUAAAAAUAUUGUGACAUGCAUGCACAUGUGGAUGUGUUGGUAUCUUGUUCAUGUCUUGUGUGUGCAUACUGGUCCAGUCUGACUAAAAGUCCCAGUCUGCUGACACCAUGACACAGUUUACCAUGGACACCUCACUCAGACACAGCAUACUGACUCCAUAAUCAUCAGUCCAUGUUUUAUCCACUUAUAAAUGUUGAGCGCCAGUCAGGGUAACAACAAGAGCCAUCUUUUAAAGUCUUUUGUGGCGGGGGCUUGAACCACCAAACUUCCAAUCUCCAUGCAGACGUUGCAUGUCCACUAGACCACUUCCUCUAACUAACUGAAUAUGCAUACUAAGAACUGUGUGUGUUUUAUGUCAGCAAGCUGUAGAAUUAUCUGCAAAUCCAAAGUUGUACACACAUUGUACCCAUGGGAGGAAUAAAACCCAGGUCUUCAGCAUGAGAAGAAAACACUUUAACCAUUUGGCUGUCCCACUCCUUAUACAACACAGAGUAACAGACAAGGUGAUUGUGUUUUUAUUGAUUCCUAAACCUUAUAAAUGAACUUUUAUUGAUGUGCCCAUGUCAUUGUUAUGGAUAUCAGGUUGAAGUGAAACACAUAUCAUUGAUAAGUGGAGCGUAUCUUGUUUGUGGUCAGUGAGUGCACUUGUUCAAAUGAGAGUUAAGCUCAUCUACAACUCUGGCUUUACCUAUAUAAAGUUGGCAAUAGGUAGAUACAUCUCUCCAAGCUCAGUCACAAAGAACACUGUUUGUGUAGGAUAAUUGAACACUGCAUGACGUCUGGGACUAAACCUGUAUAGAAUUCAGCAAUAAUACUGAUGAAAAUGGGGCAGUCAACAGCCAAUAAAAUCCGCGUCAGCGUUGUAAAUGUUUUGAAGCGUAGUACUUGUGUUAUAAUGACAACAUUUAAAUGCCUUGUGUCAACUCAGGGGUUAUGCGACAAGGGUUUUGUACUCGAAAGUAUAUUGGAAUGCUUAUGCCACGUACAUUAUGAAGAAGUCUGUCGUUCAAACUCCCAGUUGUGCAGUGACACAUUUAAUAUACUGUCCUGUGUAAGUUAUAUUGCAAAUAUGUGUGAAUUAAUUAGUUUGCUUGUGUUACUUGAUGUAAAGAGGAAGGUAUUCCUAUCCUAGAGUCACUAACACACCAGAAAUCCUAAACAUUCAGAGUGAGUGAGUUGGUUGUAACAUCGCUAUGAACUGUAUUCCUCAAUGUGUGAGAAAAGCCAAAAGUAAAGCAUGUCUCAGACAUUUACCACUUUGGUGAAACCAACGAGCAUGGUUAUGGUGUGGACAAACCUAGAAACAUAAUCCGAGCCAACCAAGAUUCGAACAAUCAUAGGUUUCUUUUGUGCCCAGAGGACGCAACACUGCACAGUAAAUUGCGGCUCCCUAGACGACUGUGCCCCGUGCCCUCUUCAAGUGCACACAAAACCUAAAAUUAUAGUCACAGACUAAUGUUUUUCCCCAACCCAUUUACAGUCCUGGAACAUGGAGGUAAUAAGAGCUAUCUUCAAAUGAAUUUCUUUCAAUGCAAGCAUCAUAUGUUCUGUCAGUUUUUAAGGAAUAAAUGAAUAAGAGAGUUCUACAUCCUGACUCUUUCACCAAUAUUAAUAGAAAAUCCAUAGCUGCAUGUUAAGUUGCUCCCAGUUUCCAAAUGAACUGGAUUCUUUAACAAAUCAUACUCUUGAACACUGUUCAACAGAUCAAAAUAGUGACUUCUCCACUGUCACUCCAGAAUGAUCGCAGUCACGUAUCAUGCCAACUUUGUUCGAUGCCACACAGCAAUAGUCAAGCCAUAUGACGUUAGACAGUGAACAAUUGAAUCUGGACACAAGAAACCAGUUAUUGAUAUUAUGAGCAACAUUCAAUGUUGAUGACAUGCAGUCAACCAAGCCACUGAGCUUGACCACCCAAUCCAUUUCAUCAACAAUUAUACAGGCAAUGUUGAAGGUAUCCUGUGGGCUUGCAGACCUUAUGUGUUUACAUACAAGUCCUUGUGGGCUUGUAGAUGUUUUAGGUUAACCCUUUCGCCCCGACUGCCCGAUUUAUCGGGCAGCAUAAACCGUGUCCCAGUACCCGGCUGCCCGAAAAAUUGGGCGGCUACUGUCCAAGCCCCACACACGGCUGCCCGAUAAAUCGGGUGGCACGACCGUGUUUACAAAAUCGCUCUUUCUACUUCUUUUCUCGUGUGUAAUCUCGUUCUAAAUAUGGAAACGAGAUCUACACAUAAUGACACGUCAUUCGAUGGAAUUUCCCAGUCUUUUUGGCGCGAAAAUCGCGGAUAUGUCACCUGUUUUCCCGACAGGUAUUUUUCUCGCUUGAAUCGUAAAUCUAGCGUAAUGGCGGUCAACUACAAUUCGGAUAGCGAUCAGAUGACUAACAACGACUCUAUCGGGAAUAAAAAUGUGUUUGAUUUGAAUAAUUUACGCGAAGGGGAAAGGGAAUUUCGCGAAUAUUUUGGUGAAGAUUUUGACGGUUUCGACGAGGUGUCCCCCCCCCGCCAACUUUCAAGAAUGGGAGUGGCAGAGGGACCACAACGGUGGAGACAUGAGGGAUUUUGAAGAGGCGACCGGACUCAAGAUUAUAUAUUGACACGGUGAGUGAAGUAUCGUGCUAUUGAUUUUUUCCAACUGUUUUACAAUGAUUCUGUGUUUGAACAGAUUAUCAGUGCAAUGAAUGAGAAUGCAGCCUACAGGUGAACGAGCGAUCACAACAACAACAAAGAUCAAUCUGUGAUAUCUUCUCUGUGAUGUCAUUCUUAUAGUAGCUGUGGUUCAAUGUUCAGAUGUGCAUGAAGAGAAUUUACCUGUAAUACCUGGGAUUACCUG